UUUUUUUUAAGUUAUUAGUAUUUAGGUUAACGAAUCAAUAUUGAGCAUAUCAUAUUUGGGCUAGGCUUUAUGAAUUAAUAUUGGCAAUAAGUUUUUAGAUAUUAGGGGGGUGUUUGGGGUUGAGUUUUGAAAAUAGAUUAUGCAUUGGGCUAGGCUUAUUUUUAAUUUUUAGAUCGAAAUUAAACAGUUUAAGAACUCAAGAAGAAAAGAAAUAAAGAAUACUCACAAUCACAAUUAGCACAACAAUCUAAUACACUAUUGGGUUAUUAUUUGGUUAUUUGGGCUAAUUACUAUUGGGCUAUCAUUUGUUUUUUUGGGCUAAUAUAAUCAGUAUUAUUUGGGCUUGAUUUCAGUUUGUAAAUUUUUUUUCAGGGGUGUCCUAGUACUUGUUGAGGGGUGUCCUUAGUAUAAAAAUUGAAAAAAAAAAAAUUUUACACUACCGGAAAAAAGUUGAGCCGUAGCCCGUGCUACGCCUCAACCUAC
rnacentral:lncRNA from 1 species